rnacentral:lncRNA from 1 species
GCAGUAUCUGUUUUAAAAUCAAUAUUUAGAACACUAUAUUCUUUCCACAAUCUCUAAUAUAGUUCUACUUAAGGUUUGAUUGUAUUUCAAUCUAUAGUUUAAAGGUUACAGUACUACCAUACUGCCUUUAGUAACCGAUGUUCGAGUAGAUGAUCCCACAGGAUAAAAAAGCAAGGUUUAUAUGUUUUCUGAGUGUCAUAAUCUACAGUGGGGCCCCCUCUUUUUUCCAUUGGAAGUACAUUAAUUUAUAUGUUGAACAAUACAUUGCAUAUGGAGAAUGAGAAAUAUAAUCACUUGGUAUAUCAGAAAGUUGCUCUGAAUAUGCCAUAAUAAUCUUUUCGUGCAAUUUAACCCCAUGCUUUGGUGGGUCGGUUUUAAUAAAGAAAGAAAAAAAAUCCUUAAACAAAUUAACCAACAAAAAUACCCACGAUUAUUGAAGGAUUUUGCAUAACGUAUAUUAUCGUUAUUUUACGAAAUUUCCUUUCGAUCUUAGUGACUGUUACUGUAUGAGUGAAUCACAGAGAGAGUUAAGUAUAAUGUACGGACUAUCGACAG